rnacentral:rRNA from 1 species
GAUGAACGCUGGCGGCGUGCCUAAUACAUGCAAGUCGAGCGAACAGAUGAGGAGCUUGCUCCUCUGACGUUAUCGGCGGACGGGUGAGUCACACGUGGAUAACCUACCUAUAAGACUGGGAUAACUUCGGGAAACCGGAGCUAAUACCGGAUAAUAUAUUGAACCGCAUGGUUCAAUAGUGAAAGACGGUUUUGCUGUCACUUAUAGAUGGAUCCGCGCCGCAUUAGGUAGUUGGUAAGGUAACGGCUUACCAAGGCUACGAUGCGUAGCCGACCUGAGAGGGUGAUCGGCCACCCUGGAACAGAGACACGGUCCAGACUCCUACGGGAGGCAGCAGUAGGGAAUCUUCCGCAAUGGGCGAAAGCCUGACGGAGCAACGCCGCGGGAGUGAUGAAGGUCUUCGGAUCGUAAAGCUAUGUUAUUAGGGAAGAACAAAUGUGUAAGUAACUAUGCACGUCUUGACAGUACCUAAUCAGAAAGCCACGGCUAACUACGUG